rnacentral:rRNA from 1 species
GAUGAACGCUGGCGGCGUGCCUAAUACAUGCAAGUCGAGCGAACAGACGAGGAGCUUGCUCCUCUGACGUUAGCGGCGGACGGGUGAGUAACACGUGGAUAACCUACCUAUAAGACUGGGAUAACUUCGGGAAACCAGAGCUAAUACCGGAUAAUAUAUUGAACCGCAUGGUUCAAUAGUGAAAGACGGUUUUGCUGUCACUUAUAGAUGGAUCCGCGCCGCAUUAGCUAGUUGGUAAGGUAACGGCUUACCAAGGCGACGAUGCGUAGCCGACCUGAGAGGGUGAUCGGCCACACUGGAACUGAGACACGGUCCAGACUCCUACGGGAGGCAGCAGUAGGGAAUCUUCCGCAAUGGGCGAAAGCCUGACGGAGCAGCGCCGCGUGAGUGAUGAAGGUCUUCGGAUCGUAAAACUCUGUUAUUAGGGAAGAACAAAUGUGUAAGUAACUAUGCACGUCUUGACGGUACCUAAUCAGAAAGCCACGGCUAACUACGUG